AGGGAAUCUUCCGCAAUGGACGAAAGUCUGACGGAGCAACGCCGCGUGAGUGAAGAAGGCCUUCGGGUCGUAAAACUCUGUUGCCGGGGAAGAACAAGUGCCGUUCGAAUAGGGCGGUACCUUGACGGUACCUAACCAGAAAGCCACGGCUAACUACGUGCCAGCAGCCGCGGUAAUACGUAGGUGGCAAGCGUUGUCCGGAAUUAUUGGGCGUAAAGCGCGCGCAGGCGGUUUCUUAAGUCUGAUGUGAAAUCUUGCGGCUCAACCGCAAGCGGUCAUUGGAAACUGGGAGGCUUGAGUGCAGAAGAGGAGAGUGGAAUUCCACGUGUAGCGGUGAAAUGCGUAGAGAUGUGGAGGAACACCAGUGGCGAAGGCGGCUCUCUGGUCUGUAACUGACGCUGAGGCAUGAAAGCGUGGGGAGCAAAC
rnacentral:rRNA from 1 species